rnacentral:tRNA from 1 species
GUAAAUUUUAAAAUACAUCUCCUGAAUGCAACCCAGACACUUUCAUUAAGCUAGCACCUCCUAGGCCAA